GACGAACCGAGCGAACGUUGUUCGGAAUCACUGGGCUUAAAGGGCGCGUAGGCGGGCUGUCAAGUCUGGGGUGAAAUCCCACGGCUCAACCGUGGAACUGCCUUAGAUACUGACGGCCUCGAGGGAGAUAGGGGCGAGCGGAACUGUGAGUGGAGCGGUGAAAUGCGUUGAUAUUCACAGGAACUCCGGUGGCGAAGGCGGCUCGCUGGAUCUUUUCUGACGCUGAGACGCGAAAGCGUGGGGAGCGAACCGG
rnacentral:rRNA from 1 species